rnacentral:rRNA from 1 species
CCUACGGGGGGCUGCAGUGGGGAAUAUUGGACAAUGGGCGAAAGCCUGAUCCAGCCAUGCCGCGUGUGUGAAGAAGGCCUUCGGGUUGUAAAGCACUUUCAGUGGGGAAGAAAGCCUUGGGGCUAAUACCCUCGAGGAAGGACAUCACCCACAGAAGAAGCACCGGCUAACUCCGUGCCAGCAGCCGCGGUAAUACGGAGGGUGCGAGCGUUAAUCGGAAUUACUGGGCGUAAAGCGCGCGUAGGCGGUCUGAUAAGCCGGUUGUGAAAGCCCCGGGCUCAACCUGGGAACGGCAUCCGGAACUGUCAGGCUAGAGUGCAGGAGAGGAAGGUAGAAUUCCCGGUGUAGCGGUGAAAUGCGUAGAGAUCGGGAGGAAUACCAGUGGCGAAGGCGGCCUUCUGGACUGACACUGACGCUGAGGUGCGAAAGCGUGGGUAGCAAACAGGAUUUAGAUACCCGAGUAGUC